UUCAUAGUAAACUACACUACUUUCUUUAAAACAUGGCUAACUAUGCUAUAGCCAAUGUUUUGAUCCUUCUCUUGAACUUGAGUACCUUACUCAAUGUUCUUGCUUGCCCUUAUUGUCCUUACCCAAGCCCUAAACCACCUUCACACCACCCUCCUAUUGUUAAGCCACCAGUUCACAAACCACCAAAGCAUUCUCCUACUCCUAAACCACCAGUUCAUAAACCACCAAGAUAUCCUCCUAAACCAUCACCUUGUCCACCCCCAUCAUCAACACCAAAACCACCUCAUCAUCCCAAACCCCCAGCAGUACACCCACCACAUGUUCCAAAACCACAUCCACCUUAUGUUCCAAAACCACCAAUUGUUAAACCUCCAAUAGUACAUCCACCUUACGUACCAAAACCCCCAGUUGUGAAACCACCACCAUAUGUCCCUAAACCACCUGUUGUGAGACCACCCUAUGUUCCUAAACCACCAGUUGUACCUGUAACACCACCUUAUGUUCCUAAGCCACCAAUUGUUUUCCCACCACAUGUUCCUCUACCUCCAGUUGUACCAUCACCACCACCUUAUGUACCAACACCUCCAAUUGUGAAACCACCAAUUGUUUUUCCACCACAUGUUCCUCUACCUCCAGUUGUGCCUGUAACACCACCUUAUGUGCAACCACCACCUAUUGUAACUCCACCAACACCAACACCUCCAAUUGUGACACCACCAACACCACCUAGUGAAACACCUUGUCCUCCACCACCACUUGUACCUUAUCCACCACCACCAGCACAACAAACAUGUUCCAUUGAUGCUUUGAAGUUGGGUGCAUGUGUUGAUGUGCUUGGUGGACUCAUACAUAUUGGUAUAGGUGGAAGUGCUAAACAAACAUGUUGUCCAUUGCUUCAAGGACUUGUUGAUUUGGAUGCUGCUAUAUGUCUUUGCACCA
rnacentral:lncRNA from 1 species